UACGUAGGGACCAAGCGUUGUCCGGAAUCAUUGGGCGUAAAGAGCGUGUAGGCGGCUUGUUAAGUCUUGCGUGAAAUCUCGGGGCUCAACCCCGAGCGGUCGUGAGAAACUGGCGGGCUAGAGUGCGGGAGAGGAGAGUGGAAUUCCUGGUGUAGCGGUGAAAUGCGCAGAUAUCAGGAAGAACACCCGUGGCGAAGGCGGCUCUCUGGGACGGUACUGACGCUGAGACGCGAAAGCGUGGGGAGCGAACAGG
rnacentral:rRNA from 1 species